GGAUAACCUACCCUUAGGACUGGGAUAACCCUGGGAAACUGGGGAUAAUACUGGAUAGGCAAUUUUUCCUGGAAUGGUUUUUUGUUUAAAUGUUUUUUCGCCUAAGGAUGGGUCUGCGGCCGAUUAGGUAGUUGGUUAGGUAACGGCUUACCAAGCCAUUGAUCGGUACGGGUUGUGAGAGCAAGAGCCCGGAGAUGGAACCUGAGACAAGGUUCCAGGCCCUACGGGGUGCAGCAGGCGCGAAACCUCCGCAAUGUGAGAAAUCGCGACGGGGGGAUCCCAAGUGCCAUUCUUAACGGGAUGGCUUUUCAUUAGUGUAAAGAGCUUUUGGAAUAAGGGCUGGGCAAGACCGGUGCCAGCCGCCGCGGUAACACCGGCAGCUCUAGUGGUAGCAGUUUUUAUUGGGCCUAAAGCGUCCGUAGCCGGUUUAAUAAGUCUCUGGUGAAAUCCUGUAGCUUAACUGUGGGAAUUGCUGGAGAUACUAUUAGACUUGAGACCGGGAGAGGUUAGAGGUACUCCCAGGGUAGAGGUGAAAUUCUGUAAUCCUGGGAGGACCGCCUGUUGCGAAGGCGUCUAACUGGAACGGUUCUGACGGUGAGGGACGAAAGUUAGGGGCGCGAACCGGAUUAGAUACCCGGGUAGUCCUAACUGUAAACGAUGCGGACUUGGUGUUGGGGUGGCUUUGAGCUGCUC
rnacentral:rRNA from 1 species